CAUUAUCAAGGCAGAACACCUUCUAUGUGUUUUCGAUUAUAUAAAGGUCUGUAUAUUAGCUAGGUACUGACAUACACUAAAGGAAUCACCAGAGUGUGGUGCAGCUCCUGUUGCUCUGUAGAAAUUUGAAAGCUCUGGUUCCACUUUUUAAAAUUGGUGCCAGUGGCAGAUCCUGCUGUGUCACCCGUCUCACUGGGGGUUCUCAAAUCCUGGCAGCUUUACAUUCCACGUACUGGAAUUGCAAGAGACAGCUUUCCUCCCUGCAAGAUGUACGAUAUCUGGCAGCUCAUAUGCCUAACAGAUGGGGACUAUUCAUACUUUUCCCCUCUCUGUGAGUUCAUUUCAAUUUACUUUUGAUCUCUAGGGAUGUGGUAAAUUCUGUAACUGACUCCUCCAUUGAUGCAAUUGCUGUCUCUGAUGAUGAUCCUCUACUUCUUUGAAGAGCAACAGUUUUGGGCCAGAAAGAACCAUGUAGAUGAAGUUUGAAUUCCUCACUUUUAGUACAUCCCCAUUUCAAAAUUUUUAUUGAAAAAUAAAUUAGCCUGUUCAUGAAGACAAAUGACCCCCAAACAUCUUCUAACAGGCUCAAGCAGGGUGGCAGUACUUAAAAUUAAAACACUUACUAACAGAUCACUUUAGAUUGGAUGCACCAAGACUGCCAGAGGCUCCAGAACUAUGGAGAAAUGCUUCAUAAACUCCCCAGGUCCACGUCCGCCAUGCUUUUCAGAACCCAAAACCAUGACUAUGAUCCAGAGACAGAGACUUGGGCCCAAAGGACCUGGUCUAUACUAAAGGUUUCAAUAGUGAUCAGCCAACAUGGAUUCCAGGUACUGUCCUAGAGCAAACUGCCCCUUUGUCUUUUAAAGUCGGUUUAAGUGAUGUUUGAGUCGUAAGAUGGCAUUGAAUGAUAUCCGUUUACAGGGUGACAUGUGGGUGCCAGAGCCUUUGCUCUUGGGUGAUGAGUCUGGAGGAGCUGAAGCCAAGAGGAUGCAGUUUUGCCAGGAAUGCCGGAGAGCUCAAGAGGAGGGUAUUUGCAAAACUGCUGGAGCAGGAGAGUGGAGGCAGUGGGCCUCUGCCCCUAGAGAAGGCCAUGGCUGCCAUGGAGAGGCACUACCCUGUGUAAAAGAGAACAUUCCCAAGGUUUUUAGAAGACUAACUCAGGGCUGCAGAUUGAAAGAUGCAUCAGAACCAAUCUAAUAAAAUGGGCUAGAUUCCUUGAAGGCUGCAAGAACAAGAAUUACAGGCAGUUCAGAGAAGAGUGACAAAUGAUAAUAAAGCACCUGGAAAA